rnacentral:rRNA from 1 species
GACAGAGGUGCCAAGCGUUAGGCGGAAUCACUGGGCUUAAAGCGUGUGUAGGCGGAUUUGUAAGUACCUUGUGAAAUCCCACGGCUCAACCGUGGAACUGCUCGGUAUACUGCUUAUCUUGAGCCACUUAGGGGCUACCGGAACAAAUGGUGGAGCGGUGAAAUGCGUAGAUAUCAUUUGGAACGCCAAUGGUGAAAAACAGGUAGCUGGGAGUGUGCUGACGCUGAGACACGAAAGCCAGGGGAGCGAACGGGG